rnacentral:lncRNA from 1 species
AGACGCCUCUAUGCCGUUGUUUGGUUCGUGGUUUUUCUAUUACGGCUGUAAUACGCGACUAACUUAAUCGGUGAAAUCCACCGAUUUCUAAUACACCCCAUUUGCUCAGAUUAGGCUCCGCAUAGGUUUACCAUCCCUGUUAUACCCUCCCAUAUGCUUCCUCGUUUCUCUUCUGUUCCUUCUAGCCUCUGCCGAAUUCGUUGUUGGUAAGUUAAUCCCCUCCAGAUUUGUUUCACUCUGCUGAUUCUGCAUGUAAUCGGUUUCCCCUUUUCUGAUUACAGCUUCUUCU